rnacentral:rRNA from 1 species
UACGUAGGGUGCGAGCGUUAAUCGGAAUUACUGGGCGUAAAGCGUGCGCAGGCGGUUUUGUAAGCCAGAUGUGAAAUCCCCGGGCUUAACCUGGGAAUGGCAUUUGGGACUGCAAGGCUGGAGUGUGGCAGAGGAGACUGGAAUUCCCGGUGUAGCAGUGAAAUGCGUAGAUAUCGGGAGGAAUACCGAUGGCGAAGGCAGGCCUCUGGGCUAUAACUGACGCUCAUGCACGAAAGCGUGGGGAGCAAACAGG